GACGAACGCUGGCGGCGUGCUUAACACAUGCAAGUCGAACGGUGACGAAUGGAGCUUGCUCUGUUCUGAUCAGUGGCGAACGGGUGAGUAACACGUGAGUAACCUGCCCCUGACUCUGGAAUAACUUCGGGAAACCGAAGCUAAUACCGGAUAUGACACAGAGCCGCAUGGUUUCUGUGUGGAAAGUUUUUCGGUGGGGAUGGACUCGCGGCCUAUCAGCUUGUUGGUGAGGUAAUGGCUCACCAAGGCGACGACGGGUAGCCGGCCUGGGAGGCGACCGGCCACACUGGGACUGAGACACGGCCCAGACUCCUACGGGAGGCAGCAGUGGGGAAUAUUGCACAAUGGGCGAAAGCCUGAUGCAGCGACGCCGCGUGAGGGAUGAAGGCCUUCGGGUUGUAAACCG
rnacentral:rRNA from 1 species